AUUGAACGCUGGCGGCAUGCUUUACACAUGCAGGCCGAACGGUAACAGGGUGCUCGCACCGCUGACGAGUGGCGAACGGGUGAGUAAUGCGUCGGAACGUGCCGAGUAGUGGGGGAUAACGCAGCGAAAGUUGUGCUAAUACCGCAUACGUACUGAGGUAGAAAGUGGGGGACCUUCGGGCCUCACGCUAUUCGAGCGGCCGACGUCUGAUUAGCUAGUAGGUGAGGUAAAGGCUCACCUAGGCGACGAUCAGUAGCGGGUCUGAGAGGAUGAUCCGCCACACGGGGACUGGGACACGGCCCAGACUCCUACGGGAGGCAGCAGUGGGGAAUUUUGGACAAUGGGCGAAAGCCUGAUCCAGCCAUGCCGCGUGUCUGAAGAAGGCCUUCGGGUUGUAAAGGACUUUUGUCAGGGAGGAAAUCCCUAGUGAUAAUAACACUGGGGGAUGACAGUACCUGAAGAAUAAGCACCGGCUAACUACGUGCCAGCAGCCGCAGUAA
rnacentral:rRNA from 1 species